rnacentral:rRNA from 1 species
UACGUAGGGUGCAAGCGUUAAUCGGAAUUACUGGGCGUAAAGCGUGCGCAGGCGGUUUUGUAAGUCCGAUGUGAAAUCCCCGGGCUUAACCUGGGAACUGCAUUUGAAACUGCAAGGCUAGAGUGUGUCAGAGGGGGGUAGAAUUCCACGUGUAGCAGUGAAAUGCGUAGAGAUGUGGAGGAAUACCGAUGGCGAAGGCAGCCCCCUGGGAUAACACUGACGCUCAUGCACGAAAGCGUGGGGAGCAAACAGG